UGAAGAGUUUGAUCAUGGCUCAGAUUGAACGCUGGCGGCAGGCCUAACACAUGCAAGUCGAACGGUAACAGGAAGCAGCUUGCUGCUUUGCUGACGAGUGGCGGACGGGUGAGUAAUGUCUGGGAAACUGCCUGAUGGAGGGGGAUAACUACUGGAAACGGUGGCUAAUACCGCAUAACGUCGCAAGACCAAAGAGGGGGACCUUCGGGCCUCUUGCCAUCAGAUGUGCCCAGAUGGGAUUAGCUUGUUGGUGAGGUAACGGCUCACCAAGGCGACGAUCCCUAGCUGGUCUGAGAGGAUGACCAGCCACACUGGAACUGAGACACGGUCCAGACUCCUACGGGAGGCAGCAGUGGGGAAUAUUGCACAAUGGGCGCAAGCCUGAUGCAGCCAUGCCGCGUGUAUGAAGAAGGCCUUCGGGUUGUAAAGUACUUUCAGCGGGGAGGAAGGUGUUGUGGUUAAUAACCGCAGCAAUUGACGUUACCCGCAGAAGAAGCACCGGCUAACUCCGUGCCAGCAGCCGCGGUAAUACGGAGGGUGCAAGCGUUAAUCGGAAUUACUGGGCGUAAAGCGCACGCAGGCGGUCUGUCAAGUCGGAUGUGAAAUCCCCGGGCUCAACCUGGGAACUGCAUUCGAAACUGGCAGGCUUGAGUCUUGUAGAGGGGGGUAGAAUUCCAGGUGUAGCGGUGAAAUGCGUAGAGAUCUGGAGGAAUACCGGUGGCGAAGGCGGCCCCCUGGACAAAGACUGACGCUCAGGUGCGAAAGCGUGGGGAGCAAACAGGAUUAGAUACCCUGGUAGUCCACGCCGUAAACGAUGUCUACUUGGAGGUUGUGCCCUUGAGGCGUGGCUUCCGGAGCUAACGCGUUAAGUAGACCGCCUGGGGAGUACGGCCGCAAGGUUAAAACUCAAAUGAAUUGACGGGGGCCCGCACAAGCGGUGGAGCAUGUGGUUUAAUUCGAUGCAACGCGAAGAACCUUACCUGGUCUUGACAUCCACAGAACUUUCCAGAGAUGGAUUGGUGCCUUCGGGAACUGUGAGACAGGUGCUGCAUGGCUGUCGUCAGCUCGUGUUGUGAAAUGUUGGGUUAAGUCCCGCAACGAGCGCAACCCUUAUCCUUUGUUGCCAGCGGUCCGGCCGGGAACUCAAAGGAGACUGCCAGUGAUAAACUGGAGGAAGGUGGGGAUGA
rnacentral:rRNA from 1 species